AGAGUUUGAUCCUGGCUCAGAAUCAACGCUGGCGGCGUGCCUAACACAUGCAAGUCGCACGAGAAAGGGUAGCAAUACCUGAGUAAAGUGGCGCACGGGUGAGUAACACGUGAAUUAUCUACCUCCGAGUGGGGAAUAACUGAGAGAAAUCUUAGCUAAUACCGCAUAACACUUACGAGUCAAAGCAGCAAUGCGCUUGGAGAGGAGUUCGCGGCCGAUUAGUUAGUUGGCGGGGUAAUGGCCCACCAAGACGAUGAUCGGUAUCCGGCCUGAGAGGGCGCACGGACACACUGGAACUGAAACACGGUCCAGACUCCUACGGGAGGCAGCAGUGGGGAAUUUUGCGCAAAGGGGGAAACCCUGACGCAGCAACGCCGCGUGGAGGAUGAGAUAUCUUGGUAUGUAAACUCCUUUCGAUGGGGAAGAUUAAGACG
rnacentral:rRNA from 1 species